rnacentral:rRNA from 1 species
AACGAACGCUGGCGGCAUGCCUAACACAUGCAAGUCGAACGAGAUCUUCGGGUCUAGUGGCGCACGGGUGCGUAACGCGUGGGAAUCUGCCCUUUGGCUCGGAAUAACAGUUGGAAACGACUGCUAAUACCGGAUGAUGACGAAAGUCCAAAGAUUUAUCGCCAGAGGAUGAGCCCGCGUAGGAUUAGCUAGUUGGUGUGGUAAAGGCGCACCAGGGCGACGAUCCUUAGCUGGUCUGAGAGGAUGAUCAGCCACACUGGGACUGAGACACGGCCCAGACUCCUACGGGAGGCAGCAGUGGGGAAUAUUGGACAAUGGGCGAAAGCCUGAUCCAGCAAUGCCGCGUGAGUGAUGAAGGCCUUAGGGUUGUAAAGCUCUUUUACCCGGGAUGAUAAUGACAGUACCGGGAGAAUAAGCUCCGGCUAACUCCGUGCCAGCAGCCGCCGUAA